CCGAGUUAUCCAACUCCCAACCCCUGUGAAUCAUACCUUUAAUUGUUGCUUCGGCGGGACUUCGCGCCCGCCGGGGACCCAAACCUUCUGAAUUUUUUAAUAAGUAUCUUCUGAGUGGUUAAAAAAAAUGAAUCAAAACUUUCAACAACGGAUCUCUUGGUUCUGGCAUCGAUGAAGAACGCAGCGAAAUGCGAUAAGUAAUGUGAAUUGCAGAAUUCAGUGAAUCAUCGAAUCUUUGAACGCACAUUGCGCCCGUCAGUAUUCUGGCGGGCAUGCCUGUUCGAGCGUCAUUACGCCCCUCAAGUCCCCUGUGGACUUGGUGUUGGGGAUCGGCGAGGCUGGUUUUCCAGCACAGCCGUCCCUUAAAUUAAUUGGCGGUCUCGCCGUGGCCCUCCUCUGCGCAGUAGUAAAGCACUCGCAACAGGAGCCCGGCGCGGUCCACUGCCGUAAAACCCCCCAACUUUUUAUAG
rnacentral:rRNA from 1 species